rnacentral:rRNA from 1 species
CUCCUACGGGGGGCAGCAGUGGGGAAUAUUGGACAAUGGGGGGAACCCUGAUCCAGCGACGCCGCGUGAGUGAAGAAGUAUUUCGGUAUGUAAAGCUCUAUCAGCAGGGAAGAAAGAAAUGACGGUACAUGAAUAAGAAGCCCCGGCUAACUACGUGCCAGCAGCCGCGGUAAUACGUAGGGGGCAAGCGUUAUCAGGAUUUACUGGGUGUAAAGGGAGCGUAGACGGCGGUGGAAGUCUGGGGUGAAAGGCAGGGGACCAACCCCGGGGAGGCUCGGGAAACUGUAGUGCUGGAGUGCAG